rnacentral:rRNA from 1 species
GACGAACGCUGGCGGCGUGCCUAAUACAUGCAAGUAGAGCGAGUUGCGAACGGGUGAGUAAUGUCUGGGAAACUGCCCGAUGGAGGGGGAUAACUACUGGAAACGGUAGCUAAUACCGCAUACCAUCGGAUGUGCCCAGAUGGGAUUAGCUAGUAGGUGGGGUAACGGCUCACCUAGGCGACGAUCCCUAGCUGGUCUGAGAGGAUGACCAGCCACACUGGAACUGAGACACGGUCCAGACUCCUACGGGAGGCAGCAGUGGGGAAUAUUGCACAAUGGGCGCAAGCCUGAUGCAGCCAUGCCGCGUGUAUGAAGAAGGCCUUCGGGUUGUAAAGUACUUUCAGCGAGGAGGCGUUACUCGCAGAAGAAGCACCGGCUAACUCCGUGCCAGCCGCCGCGGUAAUUC